rnacentral:rRNA from 1 species
AGCAGCCGCGGUAAUUCCAGCUCCAAUAGCGUAUAUUAAAGUUGUUGCAGUUAAAAAGCUCGUAGUUGAAUUUCGGAACCGAUGGAUCGGUCACGCCAUUCGGUGUGUACUGGUUUAAUUGGUUCUCACCUUCUAAGGAACCGUGAUGUCAUUAAUUUGGUGUCGCGGGGAAUUAGGACUGUUACCUUGAAAAAAUUAGAGUGUUUAAAGCAAGCUCACGCUUGAAUACAUUAGCAUGGAAUAAUGAAAUAGGACAUUGUAUUCUAUUUUGUUGGUUUCUAGGAUCGAUGUAAUGAUUAAUAGGGAUAGUUGGGGGCAUUAGUAUUCAAUUGUCAGAGGUGAAAUUCUUGGAUUUAUUGAAGACUAACUACUGCGAAAGCAUUUGCCAAGGAUGUUUUCAUUAAUCAAGAACGAAAGUUAGGGGAUCGAAGACGAUCAGAUACCGUCGUA